ensembl:lncRNA
UUUUUUUUUUUUUUUUUUUUCCUGAGCUUUCUCACUUUCCUUGCCUCAAGCUGAGCUGCAGCUGCACAGUCUUUGCCUGGCACACUGGCUCAAGUUGCUAAUACCAUCUCUGUGCACCAAGCACGCCUAUAUCUAGGCAGGACUUUUCUCUAUGCUGCAUGGGAGCUGAAUAGGCUGUACAUCAAGGCAUAUUUUAAUUUAUUGGUUUAAUUUGUUUGAUCUCCUGGAAAUCUGCAUGUAAGGGACAGGUCUCUGAACACCCCAUUUACAGAAAUUAUUUUCCUGUGUGGGCUGCAGGGUCCAAGCCAGGCAAGUACACAAACUUUGACUUAGAUGUGGCUUUCAGGGACACAAACAGAGUACAUGUCUCAUUUUCAAGAGGAGGGUGGCUACAAUAAUAAAAACUUGUGCAGGGGCUUUGAGUCUCAUCCCAGAGGUCCCACACCAGGUGAGUGAUUUGGCUUUGUUCUGGGGGCAGAACUGACACUUCCUGUUUGUAAAGCCCAGGGCACUUCUGGACAAUUGUGCAAAGUGUGUUUUCCAUGUCUCAGCUUAGUUUGAACACUUUUAUUCCUAGGUCUCAUAGCUUACCACAGCUGUAGCUAUGGAAUCGUUUCUAAACUGCUGCUUUUGGAGAGCAGGGGGAGGGAUUAGGAUGGAUCAGGAUGACUGCUGAGCAGUGGCAGAAAGUGGCAGCAGUGGUCUGAGUUUGAGAAGCAGAAGGGGGCAGCUUCCUUAUGCAAAGCAGCAUGUGCCUCUUGGUUCAAGGUCUGAAAGGCAAGAAAGUUGUUUAUCAUGUUUGCUCUGCCCUUUAGACACUUCUACUGCUCUGCUAGUUGUCACCAAUUGUCUGCACUGUGAAUGUCAGUUUUAAACAGCUGUGCAAUUGCAUUAUAUUGGUCUGGGGUACCUCUGCCACAGAGCCUCAGGACAACACAUAUGCUCCUAUUAGUGUCAGGAUCCUGCUCUGGCUUUUAAUCAUCUGGCUCCACUGAUUACAGAGGUCUUUCACAGCAACCUCUUAGUCAUUUAAGGUUUUGUGUCACACUUUCCUACCUGGGUUUUUGUGCUUUUGUUGCAGGACCUACAGGCCAGAUGGCGGGUGCUUUGCUGCACCUGAAGUCAGAAAAUGCCUCAUAGCCCUUGCCAGAUGAGCAAAACCCUGUUAAUUACUGCCAGGUAAGAAAAGGGAGGAGUGUGGAUGCAAGAGCAAACAGAGAGCACCCUGCUGUGUCUGAGGGGUCUCAGCUGGAAGGAGUGAGGAUGGGAGAACAAGGCUGGCUUCAUCUGCCACCUGCAGCUGUGCAGAAUUCCUAGAAAGGCUGCCUAGUGAGCUGAAAUUUCUGAAUCACCAUGUCCUUGCUCUACCAUCCUUCCAUUGAAUGUCUCUGGCUUCUAAAAUCACCAUGAUUGCAGAAUCCUGUGUGUGACCUCCUGAUCCACCUGUGAUGUUCUAAAUUUUGUACUAUUUUGGACAGACAUACAGCUCUGAAUCCAACCUGUGUCCCUACCCAGCCUACUGGUUUUGGUAUGUACCUCUGACACAGUUUAGCUCAAUUUUUCCACACAGCCUUAAAGCUGCCCUGAACAAAAAUAUCAUUUCUCUGCUUGCUGGUUCUGUUGCCAGAGUCUGAUCAUCACAGUGGGAGAGCAGAUGGCAGCACAAGUCAUUUAUCCAGGUGGGAGUGUGCAAGGUAAGGGGACAAGUUGCAACCAGUGAGAACUCAAUACUGCUUCAGGGAAAGAGGUGUUCUUACCAGUGAAUAAUGCAGCAGUCACUGACUGUCCUGUUUGGAGUGCAGUUCUGUGCCCUGAAUUCCUUAGAUUUACACAUUAAGGCUAUUUAUAUCUGCAGCUAAGACUUUUGGGCCAUAAGACCCAAAAGUAUUGAAUACCUGUUCUCUGAUCUUUUUCAGGCCACUCCCAUAAAGAAUAAUAUUCUAUCCAUUAUAUAACUUUAAUUAAAGUAUAUAAAUAUGUACUUUACCUUUGAGUCCUGAAAUGUGUUACCAGCUUUUAGCUAUAAAUAACCAUGAGUGAAUCAGCUACUUUCUGCUUUUAAUCCAUAAAAUGCCAAUUUUCACAAGCAGCAGCGGCACCAACAGCCUCUUCUGCCACUUUGGUGUCUCUUAAGCAUUUCACACCCAAGCGCUGACUAAAGAAACACUCACGUUAUGAGCCAGUGUGCAGCAAUUCUGCUUCUGUACAGUAAUGGUUUUGUAAUCCUUUGACUUCUAGUUGUGGCUUAUGAUUUUCUUCUUAGUUUAACAGAUUUUGAGCCAAGUUCCUGACUCUAAGAAGAGCUAAAACUUCUGUAACUCUUUUUAAUCUAAAUUUUGCCUUCCCCAGUUACCCUCCCCCAAACCUGUACAGACAUUUAGUACAUAAGUUGCAGAAUCGUGGAGAAACAGAUAAUUGAAUAUUCACACAUGCAGAAACAACCCAGGCAGAAUGUGGAACAAUGUGGAAACAGGCGCGAAAAGAGGCGGCAUCUGUUUAUUGAAAAUUAAAAUGUAGAAUAAAUUAAGAGGGCAAGGUUAAAACACUUCAUCUGCAGACAGAGUUUGUAGGGGAGGAAGACUGCAGAAAGUUUAGCACAUAAGACUGUGUAUAAAGGACUUAUGCAGUUCUAUUUUUGCAAAAUGAGGGGUUUUCUACCCCCCCAAGGACACAUUACAAAGGGAUAAAGUGUCCACAUAAAGAAUGGUUUUCCAAUAGAGAUGAUUAUAUAUAGCAGUUUCACAGUAAUGCCAGAAUUAAAAUGCUUAAAGCAUUAAUGUUUCAAUGCUUCAAGUAUUUAAGAACAGAGUAAGUAUUUUUAGCAACAUCCUCAAUUCCUGUAAGUAAAUGCUGUGCUAAGUCUCCACCGGUGCCCUAUGCAGGUCAUGCUGGGCCUUUCCAAACCAAAUAAUGAAUUUAGCCAAUUUGCAUUUUUAAUGUCUGUUUUGGUGUCAUUCUGCAAGGAGAAGGGUAGAGCCAAGAUAGUGUUUGAUGGACUGACAAAUGCAGUGAAUUUGGUUGUAAUGUGGAGUUACUCUGCUGACAUUUCCAAAGACCUCUAAAGAUACCACAUGACAAAGAGAGGAUCUGAGCUUUUGCUUUUUUUUUGUUGUUCUGUACAUACCUUGCACUUUGUACAUUAAACUUGCAAAAGGUUUAACCACUUUGAAGUUGCUCAAGUAGACAAAAGCCAUAUCCUAGUCAUUCAUCAUAAAACAAGCUUAAUUAUGCUAGGACAUAUUGACACUGCAUCAGAUUUUUAAUCUUCAACAUAAUUUUAUAACCAUUGCUAACAGAUGGGCUGAUUACACUGAAUUUGAGUUUUAAGUAAUAGUUAAAAAUUCUAAAAUAUGAUUAAUCUGGAAAUACCCAUUGCAUACCUAAUUUUCAAAAAGCUUCUGAAAGAAGGAAAACCAGAUUGCAGUAAAACUUCUUUUUUGUUUCCUGAGGGAACUAUAUUGCUUUUAAGUGCAGAGUUAUCAAAGUUCCUUAGAUGACCAAGCAGUUCAUGCUAUUGGCAGCUCCUCUUCUGUUCAAUUACAACAAAUAGGCCAGGACCUUAUUCCUUCCAUGGGUCUGCUGCUCUAUUCUAGCAUAAAAUAUGUGUAUUUUCCUAUUUCAGAACCUCUUUUUUUUCCAUUGGAAAUGAAAACAAAGAGUAAUUUAAAUUAGCAUAGUUCUGCUCUUCAAUAACAAUAACAAAUGUAAAAUUAUUAUGAAACAGAGGGACAGCUUUGUGGGACUAAUGGAAGUCAUAUGUGAAUUCUGAAGGGAAGGUAUUUCUUUUCAUGUUAUCUUGUUACUAAAGGAAAGAUAAGCCAGACUUCCCUCUGCCUGCCAUUGUUCAUCAUGUGCUGGACAUGUGCUUCAUAUCACAAGGAUGAUAAUGGGUCAGAGGUGAUUGGUAUUGUGAAUUCUGGAAUAGGGGAAAUAGAAAGAUUAAAUACUGUCUAGUUAGAUCUCAAUUCUAUACACUGCGGGGCAAAAAAGGGUGCUAAGGAUAUAUAAGUAUAUAUAAACACACAUCACAAAAAUAUGUCCUCUUAUAUCCUGGAAGAAUCCUCUGGCCAAGGAGAUCAGCCUGGCAAGGCUCAUGAUGGCUUGGUUUCAGACAGGUAUCCCAUCACCAGUAUUAGCAUUUCCAAAUGAAAGAACAUUCUGGUCACAGACUGAGCAAGAAAAAGCAUACUGAAAUUAAAAAUUUUGUUAAAACUCCACUGACAAAACAGUCAUUCUAUAGUUAUCAGUAAUUAAUUAAGAUGUCUGCUAGUUUUGGCUGGGGUGGAGUUAAUUUUCUUCACAGGGGUAGGUAUGGGGCCAUGUUUUGGAUCUGUGCUGAACACAGGGUUGAUAAUAUAGAGAUGUUUUUGUUAUUGCUGAGCAGGGCUUACACAGAGCCAAGGCCUCUUCUGCUUUCUCAUACUCCAUGCUCGGGAGGGGGCUGGGGGUGCUGGGAGGAAACACAGCCAGGACAGGUGACCCAAACUGACCACAGGGAUAUUCCAGACCGUAGAACAUCAUGCUUGAUACGUGAACUGGGGGAAGAAGGAAGAGACAUUUGGAGUGAUGGCGUUCAUCUUCCCAUGUUGUGUGCUACACUGUGACGGUGUGAUGGGGCCCUGCUGUCCUGGAGAUGGCUGAACACCUGCCCGCUCUGAGGAAGCAGUGAAUUUAUUCCUUGCUUUGGUUUAUUUGCAUGACAUUCCAAUUUGUGGUUUUUGCCUUCCCCAUUAAACUUUGUCUCAACCAAGGAGUCUCCUACCUUUUACCCUUUAAAUUCUCUCCCCAAUCCCACUGGUGGGGGAGCAGCUGUGUGGGGCUUGGCUGCUCGCUGGGGUUAAACCAUCACAACAUUCAAAACAGCUUCAUACCACCAACUUUUCAUUAUAUAGAUGGGUUUGAAUAAUUAAAUUUGUCUGAAUUAGGUAAUCUAUCUACAAUUUUAUUUUCAGGAUCUUUUCACCAUCCGUUGCAGAAUUUACAGCUGCAGGAAAUGUUCAUCCAUGCAGCAGUGGUAUUUUUAAACGCACUGGGAGACACCCUUGCCAUCCUAUAAGUGAAACAUCCCUGCAAUGAGUAGCAAUCUUCAAAU